rnacentral:rRNA from 1 species
UAGGGAAUCUUCCGCAAUGGACGCAAGUCUGACGGAGCAACGCCGCGUGAGUGAAGAAGGAUUUCGGUUCGUAAAACUCUGUUGUUAGAGAAGAACAGCGCAUAGAAUAACUGUUAUGCGUGUGACGGUAUCUAACCAGAAAGCCACGGCUAACUACGUGCCAGCAGCCGCGGUAAUACGUAGGUGGCAAGCGUUGUCCGGAUUUAUUGGGCGUAAAGCGAGCGCAGGCGGUCAAUUAAGUCUGAUGUGAAAGCCCCCGGCUCAACCGGGGAGGGUCAUUGGAAACUGGUUGACUUGAGUGCAGAAGAGGGGAGUGGAAUUCCAUGUGUAGCGGUGAAAUGCGUAGAUAUAUGGAGGAACACCAGUGGCGAAGGCGACUCUCUGGUCUGUAACUGACGCUGAGGUUCGAAAGCGUGGGUAGCAAACAGG